GGGGGUUUUUGUACUCUCUUUGUUUCCAUUCUUAUUUUCUCUUUGGCCCUAGGGUUGACAACCUGAAACACUGUGGCAAUACACAUGCAAUUUAUGUUCUUUUUCUUUUUUUAAAUAUAAUUCCUCUAUUAUUUAUUUUUUUAUUGGUAUUUGAUGGUUUGGUGUUGUAGAUUGAAAAUUUGAAGAAGAUCGUGAUUCUUCAUGGUGGAAGAACGAGAAUUAGGCUCUUUGAAAGUGGUGGAGAAACUUCAUUAGAGUUUCAAUGUCGCUCCUCUGCUCCUAAUUGGCUGAAUAUAGUUCGUUGACCUCUAUUAUUUCUAUGGGAGAAAGAAUGCUAUCAGCACCAUCGACCAGUGGGUAUGCACGCACAAGCAUCCAACCAAGGGGCAGGGGCCACUUUUCACAUCACCCUAUGUCUAGGCAUAGAGGACGCAACCGGAGUGAUCACAACAAAUGCCGCUGGUUUGAAGAACAAAUCACUUACUACCUCAAAUGGUCUUAUGCUUUGAACAGGUUUGCCAUCUUCUCUUUUUCUCUUUUGAGAUUGGGAAUUAGGUCAAAUCCAAUGCAAAUUUUCAAGGUUCUUAUUCUUUUCUCUGACUUCAGAAUAUGAUUUUUAGAUGUCAUGCAAGAAAGUGUCAAAGUCUAGCUCUAAUACACACACAAUGCAUGAUGAUGCAACAAUAGGGCGAUCACGGUAACGGAAUUUUUCUCAGUCACACCGAAUCCCACUUAUACACAACCGCAUUUAUAUUAGCAAUUUCAUAUAUAAGCAUUUGAUAUAAUUCAAAUAAAGCAUACAUGAGAUUCUAAUUUAGAAAAAAGUGCAUGAUAUGGAAUUCAAUAGUCCUAUAAACUUAAAACACGCUAAGAGAAAUUAGAUCACUACUCGCCUUGUCUACUGACUUGGUGAAGAAAUUCUUGUGGAAGAAGAAUGCCCAAAAAAUGUCCUCUAGGCCUCACCGAAAAGAAUGGAUCAUUGACACAGAUGCUACUAAGCACAUCUUUGGGGAUCAAAAUGCCUUUUUUAACCAUUCAACGGUUAAAAUAGGUGAACAA